rnacentral:sRNA from 1 species
UUAUCAAAUGCUUUUUCAACAAUAGUUGAAAUGAUCAUAUGGUUUUUGUCCUUCAUUCUGUUGACAUGAUGUAUCACAUUCAUUGAUUUGCAUAUGUUGAGCCAUCCUUGCAUCCCUAGGAUAAAUUCCACUUGGUCACGAUAAAUGAUCUUUUUUUUCUUUUUUCUUUUUUUUUGUGAGACUGAGUCUCGCUCUGUCGCCCAGGCUGGAGUGCAGUGGUGCAAUCUUGGCUUACCGCAACCUCCAUCUUCUGGGUUCAAGUGAUUCUCCUGCCUCAGCCUCCCGAGUAGCUGGGACUACAGGUUUUCCAGGAUUUAGGGAUGGAAGUACUGUCUGGAGUUGCCAAAGGCUAUAACAUAUGCCUUUUUGCUUAUGGACAGACAGGCUCUGGGAAGACAUAUACCAUGCUGGGGACCCCAGCCUCUGUUGGGUUGACACCACGGAUAUGUGAGGGUCUCUUCGUCAGGGAGAAAGACUGUGCCUCACUGCCUUCCUCCUGUAGGAUAAAAGUAAGUUUUCUAGAAAUCUAUAAUGAACGGGUGCGGGAUCUGUUGAAGCAAUCUGGUCAAAAAAAGUCCUAUACCCUGCGGGUCAGGGAGCAUCCAGAGAUGGGGCCCUAUGUACAAGGUUUAUCUCAACAUGUAGUUACCAAUUAUAAGCAAGUAAUCCAACUCUUGGAGGAGGGAAUUGCAAACAGAAUCACAGCAGCCACCCAUGUUCAUGAGGCCAGCAGCAGGUCCCACGCCAUUUUCACGAUCCACUACACGCAGGCAAUCCUGGAGAACAACCUCCCUUCUGAAAUGGCUAGCAAGAUCAACCUUGUGGACCUAGCAGGCAGUGAAAGAGCAGAUCCCAGUUACUGUAAGGACCGCAUUGCUGAAGGAGCCAAUAUCAACAAGUCCCUUGUGACUCUAGGAAUUGUCAUCUCCACCUUAGCCCAGAACUCCCAAGUUUUCAGCAGCUGCCAGAGCCUCAACAGCUCAGUCAGCAAUGGUGGUGACAGUGUGAUCCUUAGCUCUCCUUCUGGGACCAGCAGUGGAGGGGCACCCUCCCGAAGGCAGUCUUAUAUCCCAUACCGAGACUCUGUGUUGACCUGGCUGCUGAAGGACAGCCUUGGAGGCAACUCUAAAACCAUCAUGGUUGCCAGUGAGUGGGAUGCCAGAGCUGGAUCUGUGUUGGGACUGGUACUCUAUCUCAGAGAAAGGGCCAUGGCCCCAGUGAGUGGGAUGCCAGAGCUGGAUCUGUGUUGGGACUGGUACUCUAUCUCAGAGAAAGGGCCAUGACCACCUAGGUUUCUCAUUUCAUCAGGGGUCUUAUACAGCAUGGGCAGUAGUAACAAGGCAAGUGAUUAAGGGCUGGGAUGGAUGGGCUGGCAUGUUUUUAAACUUUCUCCUUCUACCUCAGCGGUGUCUCCUGCACACACUAGCUACAGUGAGACCAUGAGCACACUGAGAUAUGCAUCCAGUGCCAAAAACAUUAUCAACAAGCCACGAGUAAAUGAGAUAGACCAGCUGACUAAAGACUGGACCCAGAAGUGGAAUGAUUGGCAGGCCCUCAUGGAGCAUUACAGUGUGGACAUCAACAGGAGGAGGGCUGGGGUGGUCAUCGACUCCAGCCUGCCACACUUGAUGGCCUUGGAGGAUGAUGUGCUCAGCACAGGUGUUGUGCUCUAUCAUCUCAAGGUGAGGAGGCUGGUGUAUCCUUUUCUUCCUAAGCCACUGGUUCCAGAGGUCAAGGAGGGAAAAGCUAGGAGCAGCAGCCAUGUUACUGUGAAUUGAAAUCAAGACAGAUGCUACAGAGCUGCCUUCAGGUUUGCUCUCAGGAAAUGUCUACCUGACAAAUUGUGAUCUGUUUUGCCUUCGUAUGUAUAGAGCAGAAGACUGGAAAUCAGAACAAUUGUUUUUCAACUGCUGCUACUGUUGUUCUUAUGUAACUUACUUUUGUUCUCUUUGCCUUAAUUGACUCAUUUUAAAGUGAGAAUGAUGCUUACCAUAUUCCUUUUCUGGCUUAGUGAAGCAUAGGGGUAUAGUCAUGGAGAGUGAAACCCUAACCUCCAGAUAACCAUUAGUGCUCCUAAACUCUACAAAUACAGACUGCUCAAAGGUGGCUUUCAGGUUGGGCGCGGUGGCUCACACCUGUAAUCUCAGCACUUUGGGAGGCUGAGGCGGGCAGAUCACUUGAGGUCAGGAGUUCGAGACCAUCCUGGCCAACAUGGUGAAACCCCACCUCUACUAAAAAUACAAAAAUUAGCCGGGCGUGGUGGUGGGAGCCUGUAAUCCCAGCUACUCGGGAGGCUGAGGCGGGAGAAUCACUUGAACCCAGGAGGUGGAGGUUGCAGUGAGCUGAGAUCACGCCACUGCGCUCCAGCCUGGGUGACAAAGUAAGACUCUGUCUC